GUUCCAAGGAUCCUGGGCAAGAAUAUUAGGAGCCUGAGGGGUACCCAAAGGAAACCCAUCUAUGUGACCCAACUUGGGCUGAUUGAAUGCAAACCAGAGCAGAAAGAAGCAGAAACACAAUUAUGGACUUAGGAAACGGUUUGAAACUAACGGGGCAGAGGGAGUUUGACAGAGAGGAGAACAAAUCGCUGACAAAGAACCUUUUACGUUUCAUCAGCGUUGUUAGGACGACAAGCAGGAAUGUCUCAGAUAAUAACUCCCACUUCAA
ensembl:lncRNA ZIC4-AS1 ZIC4 antisense RNA 1